rnacentral:rRNA from 1 species
AUACGAAGGUGGCAAGCGUUGUCCGGAAUUAUUGGGCGUAAAGCGCGCGCAGGCGGUCCUUUAAGUCUGAUGUGAAAGCCCACGGCUCAACCGUGGAGGGUCAUUGGAAACUGGGGGACUUGAGUGCAGAAGAGGAAAGUGGAAUUCCAAGUGUAGCGGUGAAAUGCGUAGAGAUUUGGAGGAACACCAGUGGCGAAGGCGACUUUCUGGUCUGUAACUGACGCUGAGGCGCGAAAGCGUGGGGAGCAAACAGGAUUAGAUACCCUGGUAGUCCACGCCGUAAACGAUGAGUGCUAAGUGUUAGGGGGUUUCCGCCCCUUAGUGCUGCAGCUAACGCAUUAAGCACUCCGCCUGGGGAGUACGGUCGCAAGACUGAAACUCAAAGGAAUUGACGGGG